rnacentral:rRNA from 1 species
UUGCACGCUGGCGGCAGGCCUAACACAUGCAAGUCGAGCGGAUGAAGGGAGCUUGCUCCUGGAUUCAGCGGCGGACGGGUGAGUAAUGCCUAGGAAUCUGCCUGGUAGUGGGGGAUAACGUCCGGAAACGGGCGCUAAUACCGCAUACGUCCUGAGGGAGAAAGUGGGGGAUCUUCGGACCUCACGCUAUCAGAUGAGCCUAGGUCGGAUUAGCUAGUUGGUGGGGUAAAGGCCUACCAAGGCGACGAUCCGUAACUGGUCUGAGAGGAUGAUCAGUCACACUGGAACUGAGACACGGUACAGACUCCUACGGGAGGCAGCAGUGGGGAAUAUUGGACAAUGGGCGAAAGCCUGAUCCAGCCAUGCCGCGUGUGUGAAGAAGGUCUUCGGAUUGUAAAGCACUUUAAGUUGGGAGGAAGGGAAGUAAGUUAAUACCUUGCUGUUUUGACGUUACCAACAGAAUAAGCACCGGCUAACUUCGUG